rnacentral:rRNA from 1 species
UGCAAGUCGAACGAAGUUAGGAAGCUUGCUUCUGAUACUUAGUGGCGGACGGGUGAGUAAUGCUUAGGAAUCUGCCUAGUAGUGGGGGAUAACUUGGGGAAACCCAAGCUAAUACCGCAUACGACCUACGGGUGAAAGGGGGCGCAAGCUCUCGCUAUUAGAUGAGCCUAAGUCGGAUUAGCUAGUUGGUGGGGUAAAGGCCUACCAAGGCGACGAUCUGUAGCUGGUCUGAGAGGAUGAUCAGCCACACUGGGACUGAGACACGGCCCAGACUCCUACGGGAGGCAGCAGUGGGGAAUAUUGGACAAUGGGCGAAAGCCUGAUCCAGCCAUGCCGCGUGUGUGAAGAAGGCCUUUUGGUUGUAAAGCACUUUAAGUGGGGAGGAAAAGCUUAUGGUUAAUACCCAUAAGCCCUGACGUUACCCACAGAAUAAGCACCGGCUAACUCUGUGCCAGCAGCCGCGGUAAUACAGAGGGUGCAAGCGUUAAUCGGAAUUACUGGGCGUAAAGCGCGCGUAGGUGGUUAUUUAAGUCAGAUGUGAAAGCCCCGGGCUUAACCUGGGAACUGCAUCUGAUACUGGAUAACUAGAGUAGGUGAGAGGGGAGUAGAAUUCCAGGUGUAGCGGUGAAAUGCGUAGAGAUCUGGAGGAAUACCGAUGGCGAAGGCAGCUCCCUGGCAUCAUACUGACACUGAGGUGCGAAAGCGUGGGUAGCAAACAGGAUUAGAUACCCUGGUAGUCCACGCCGUAAACGAUGUCUACCAGUCGUUGGGUCUUUUAAAGACUUAGUGACGUAGUUAACGCAAUAAGUAGACC